GAAACGAGGAAAAUAGAAAAUCAAAAGGGAUAUAAUUAAAAAUAGAGAAUGAGAAAAUUUCCCAAAGAUACAAAAAAGGAUAUAAUCAAACACUAUUUAAUCUCUUGUGAGAACCAAAAAUGGAGAAGUAAAAGUAUAUUCACCAUUUUUUGGGGGGUGGGGAUUUGAUUACAGAGCUUAGACUCUCACAUAUUUUCGUUCAUAUUUCUUCAAAAAGGGAGAUACACAAUGAAAGAAAAUAACAAGUAUAAGAGGAGAAACAUUAAUUAAUUUUGAUGGAAAUAACACGAAGUCCAUAGGCCUUAAGGAUGAGGCCAAUACUGCAUGCAGUCAUUCCUUUUCCCAAAUCGCUAACCCCUCCUCCCGUCAACUUAAAAUAGAGUUUAAAUAUGGGGAUCAAGUUGAUCCUAAACCAAGUUUAGAGACCAACGUGAAAGUUCAUUGGCAACCAGGUUAUUUAACUGGCUAAUAGAGAUGAACUUGUUGAAACUACCAAAAUUCUAAAAUUGAAAAUAAGAAAUGAUAAAAAGAGACCAAAAUUUGCUAAUUUGAUAGAAGAGGUUGAAGACUUUGAGACAAAGAGGAUAUUUUCUGGUUUCAAAUCUCUGUGGAAAAUACCUUUAUCAUGAUAAUACAUGACCACUUCCAUUAAUUGUCUAAAAAUAACCCAUGCCUUGUGCUCCGAAAACUCCCCAACUUCUCAAUUCGAUGAAAAAGCUCUCCACCAGCACAAAGCUCCAUCAGAAGGUGUGCGUAGAAAACAUUCUCAAAUUUCAUUUCGUCAAUUUUUGGUAUUUUAUAAGAACAGGAAACCCUUCUAUAGGAAAAGAUCAAGGCAUGCUACUGCAAAUUGCUGGAUAGUGUAAUACAUGAGUAGAUAAACAUGACAUCAGUCUUGUAGGACAAAAGAACCAAUGUGGAAUUUGGGAAUAAUGCAAUCAAUUGGUGUUCUCGAUGUCCUUGCUUUUUUAUUAAAACUAUU
rnacentral:lncRNA from 1 species